rnacentral:rRNA from 1 species
UACGUAGGUCCCGAGCGUUGUCCGGAUUUAUUGGGCGUAAAGCGAGCGCAGGUGGUUUAUUAAGUCUGGUGUAAAAGGCAGUGGCUCAACCAUUGUAUGCAUUGGAAACUGGUAGACUUGAGUGCAGGAGAGGAGAGUGGAAUUCCAUGUGUAGCGGUGAAAUGCAUAGAUAUCACGCAGAACUCCGAUUGCGGAGGCAGCAUACCGGCGCCCAACUGACGCUGAAGCACGAAAGCGUGGGUAUCGAACAGG